AUCCUGGUUUUUGUGUUUAUCUUUCCUAGUGCUUUGCUGCAUAAAUGGUGCAUUGAAGUUAUUUGCACUGCUGAAGAAGUACGGGGGCUGUUCUUAGAAGUGGAGGCUUUAAAAUCUGACUUUUAAUGGAAAUUAUUCACUAUAAAAGAGGCAAUUCUUGGUUUUAAUUUUCUGUCGUCUACAGCACUUUCGCAUUGUUCUUGUGCAUUGCCAUUCACUUUUAAGAUUCUUUUUUGUUAGGUGUUUUAAGGCCUUUUGUUUGAGAUUAUUAUGAAAACUGAGGUUUCGGUUCAGUAUGUGUUCAGUGCAAUAGCCUUGCAUAUGAGCCCAUUAGAAUGCAUUAUUUUUAUUUCUGUAUUUGUAUGUCUUCAGAUCAGAUUUGAGGCUUAAUUAUACAAUGACAAAACAUUUGUCCUCUGUAAUUAAGCAUGAUUUCUUUUCUUUAAAUCACAUGUUUAUAUGCUAACUGACAAAAGUGCUUUUCAUUCAAGCAGUCAUGAGUGGUGUGUCUUCAAAUCCUGCUGGGAAAUCUGAUCUCCUCUUGUUUGUCUGUGCAAAGUGGAUGGGAGAUACAGAUCAAGGUGAUUCCACGACAAGGCUGCCUUCCCAGACUGAGCCCGAGGAGGAUGGAGAUGGCAGGCAUUUGAAUUCAUGUGCAUGGGGACCUACUAGAACUGAUGCAUCAGCCCCACAGAGUAUUUCCCUGGCUUAAUGACUGCAUUCAUUUCUUGACCACAGAACAAGUGCCUGUCCCUCAUGUCAGCAGUCUGAGCCUGUCAGAUAGGCAUUGCUGGUCAUACCUCAGAAGAAAACAAAUAGGAAAGAAAGUGAUGAAAGAAGUGGUGAAAAUUUGGUGAAGAUGCUCAUGAACUUAUUGAACAACACAGAUAGAUGUUCACCUGUAGAAAACCCACCUAUAUGAAACACAGUAGUGUUUUUCAGUUGAACUGAUAUUUAUAAAUCAUUCUGCUAUCUGUAGUGAGGGGACAAUGUGUACCUCCUUACAAUGGACAGAUGGUAACUCCCUAUAUUAUCAGUCAGGAUGAGAUCUGCAUUAAUGUAAGCAACAAAAUUACAAUUUCAUAAUUCCUCUAGGUCAUAGCAUGUUUUAAAUCCAAACCAAAUGUUAGACUAUUCAUAGUUUUCCUAAUAAACCAAAAGUGAAUUC